rnacentral:rRNA from 1 species
GGUGAAAAGCACCCCGGAAGGGGAGUGAAAUAGAACCUGAAACCGUGUGCUUACAAGUAGUCAGAGCCCGUUAAUGGGUGAUGGCGUGCCUUUUGUAGAAUGAACCGGCGAGUUACGAUUUGAUGCAAGGUUAAGCAGUAAAUGUGGAGCCGUAGCGAAAGCGAGUCUGAAUAGGGCGUUUAGUAUUUGGUCGUAGACCCGAAACCAGGUGAUCUACCCUUGGUCAGGUUGAAGUUCAGGUAACACUGAAUGGAGGACCGAACCGACUUACGUUGAAAAGUGAGCGGAUGAACUGAGGGUAGCGGAGAAAUUCCAAUCGAACCUGGAGAUAGCUGGUUCUCUCCGAAAUAGCUUUAGGGCUAGCCUCAAGUGAUGAUUAUUGGAGGUAGAGCACUGUUUGGACGAGGGGCCCCUCUCGGGUUACCGAAUUCAGACAAACUCCGAAUGCCAAUUAAUUUAACUUGGGAGUCAGAACAUGGGUGAUAAGGUCCGUGUUCGAAAGGGAAACAGCCCAGACCACCAGCUAAGGUCCCAAAAUAUAUGUUAAGUGGAAAAGGAUGUGGCGUUGCCCAGACAACUAGGAUGUUGGCUUAGAAGCAGCCAUCAUUUAAAGAGUGCGUAAUAGCUCACUAGUCGAGUGACACUGCGCCGAAAAUGUACCGGGGCUAAACAUAUUACCGAAGCUGUGGAUUGUCCUUUGGACAAUGGUAGGAGAGCGUUCUAAGGGCGUUGAAGCAUGAUCGUAAGGACAUGUGGAGCGCUUAGAAGUGAGAAUGCCGGUGUGAGUAGCGAAAGACGGGUGAGAAUCCCGUCCACCGAUUGACUAAGGUUUCCAGAGGAAGGCUCGUCCGCUCUGGGUUAGUCGGGUCCUAAGCUGAGGCCGACAGGCGUAGGCGAUGGAUAACAGGUUGAUAUUCCUGUACCACCUAUAAUCGUUUUAAUCGAUGGGGGGACGCAGUAGGAUAGGCGAAGCGUGCGAUUGGAUUGCACGUCUA